rnacentral:sRNA from 1 species
UAAAAGCAUACAUCUGGCUCUUUCUAAC